GCCAAGAUGGUGGUGAAUAAUACCCGGUAACGGGGAAUCAACCCAGCCUUUCAUGUGGUAGGCUUCUGAACAUCUUGGCGCCUUAAU
rnacentral:sRNA from 1 species